rnacentral:rRNA from 1 species
UACGGGGGGAGCAAGCGUUGUCCGGAAUUAUUGGGCGUAAAGAGCGUGUAGGCGGCCAGAUAAGUCCGCUGUGAAAUCUCGAGGCUCAACUUCGAGCUGUCGGUGGAAACUAUCUGGCUAGAGUCCGGAAGAGGAGAAUGGAAUUCCUGGUGUAGCGGUGAAAUGCGCAGAUAUCAGGAAGAACACCCGUGGCGAAGGCGGUUCUCUGGGACGGUACUGACGCUGAGACGCGAAAGCGUGGGGAGCGAACAGG